GACGAACGCUGGCGGCGUGCUUAACACAUGCAAGUCGAACGGAAAGGCCCUGCUUUUGUGGGGUGCUCGAGUGGCGAACGGGUGAGUAACACGUGAGUAACCUGCUCUUGACUUUGGGAUAACUUCAGGUAACUGGGGCUAAUACCGGAUAGGAUCUCCUGCUGCAUGGUGGGGGUUGGAAAGUUUCGGCGGGUGGGGAUGGACUCGCGGCUUAUCGGCUUGUUGGUGGGGUAGUGGCUUACCAAGGCUGUGACGGGUAGCCGGCCGGGGAGGGUGACCGGCCACAUUGGGCCUGAGAUACGGCCCAGACUCCUACGGGAGGCAGCAGUGGGGAAUAUUGCCCAGUGGGCGGAAGCCUGAUGCAGCAACGCCGCGUGCGGGAUGACGGCCUUCGGGUUGUAAACCGCUUUCGCCUGUGACGAAGCGUGAGUGACGGUAAUGGGUAAAGAAGCACCGGCUAACUACGUG
rnacentral:rRNA from 1 species